GUCUUUCUCUGCUCUGUUUUAAAAGAGAAACUCAAGUUCUAAGCUUUUGAGUUGAAGAAAGAGGAAACCACAAUGAGGAAGUGCAAACGGUUGGUGAGAAUGGUCACAUCUGAGUAAAAGACUAACACGGCUGCUACUCUGAAACACAGAGAAAUAUUACUGAGCUGAGUAUAUGGUCUUGCAAGUUUGGCCGGCAACAGCCCCAAUACUUGCUGAUGAGUUAACCCUUUCAACUUCCUCAGGGCUGCAGAAGUGGCAACCGCGAUAGGCUCCAACGCCUAUCACAACCUACUACAACUAUCACCCAGGUUUAAUGGUGGAACUGGGACAGACAGGGAAGAUACAGGGAAAGGGCAGUACUGAAGGAAUCUGCAUGUAAGGACCACAUUCCCUGGAUUCUGCAAAGCUCUGCUCUAAACGGGGCUCACUGCACCAUGGGCUGCUUAGGCAUUUCUGCCUCUGUGCAAAGCCAUCAGCCAUUCCUCCCAUCCACAGAACAAUCAUGAAAUGCUGCAGAUGUCACUGCAGUUCUGAAGUAGCAACAGCAGCCAUGGAAUAGCUCCACUGCCCCCAAUUACACAAUGUAUCACACCUCAAUAAGACCCCCAUGUACAGGGUGACCAGACAGCAAGUGUGAAAAAUCGGGAUGGGGGUUGGGGGUAAUAGGAGCCUAUAUAAGAAAAAGACUCAAAAAUCGUGACUGUCCCUAUAAAAUCGGGACAUCUGGUCACCCUACCCGUGUACCAAGUUUGUCUAGUAGGACUUUGCAU